rnacentral:rRNA from 1 species
CGUGUAGGCGGUUCGAUAAGUCUGCUGUGAAAGUCCAGGGCUCAACCCUGGAAAGCCGGUGGAUACUGUCGGACUAGAGUGCAGAAGAGGCGAGUGGAAUUCCCGGUGUAGCGGUGAAAUGCGCAGAUAUCGGGAGGAACACCAAUUGCGAAGGCAGCUCGCUGGGACGUUACUGACGCUGAGACGCGAAAGCGUGGGAGCAAACA